GCUGUGUCAACAUCCCCGCUGGCAGCCAUGCGAUGUAACUGGAGUGAAUCAUAAACGGAUGCCAUUUCAGAGUUGUCUCUACGCGACUCCAGUUCUGGUAUACCUCUUCGCUCCUCCUAGACAGGGAGAGGGAGAGAGGUGUAUCAGGAAGGUCUGAGAUGAUACUAAUGCUGUCUGACCGGGCAGAGGAAGUGUGCCACUUCAUUUGACCUGCAUCCUGUGUUCAAAUUGAUUGCAAGUCCAACCAGUCCUGAGGCAACCACAACGCAGAAUACAGCAAUAAUAACCAUACCCAGAGUCCUCUCAUUCAUGUCUGAAUUAAAUAAAAACAAGGAAACGAUUUGCGUAAAGUAUGU